UAUUGGACAAUGGGCGCAAGCCUGAUCCAGCAAUACCGCGUGUGUGAAGAAGGCCUUAGGGUUGUAAAGCACUUUCAAUUGGGAGGAAAACCUGCCGGUCAAUACCCGGUAGCUUGACAUUACCUUUAGAAGAAGCACCGGCUAACUCCGUGCCAGCAGCCGCGGUAAUACGGAGGGUGCGAGCGUUAAUCGGAAUUACUGGGCGUAAAGCGUGCGUAGGCGGUUCGUUAAGUCAGAUGUGAAAGCCCUGGGCUCAACCUGGGAACUGCAUUUGAAACUGGCGGACUAGAGUUUAGUAGAGGGGAGUGGAAUUUCAGGUGUAGCGGUGAAAUGCGUAGAUAUUUGAAGGAACACCAGUGGCGAAGGCGACUCCCUGGACUAGAACUGACGCUGAGUACGAAA
rnacentral:rRNA from 1 species